CUGCCAGACUCCUACGGGAGGCAGCAGUGGGGAAUAUUGCACAAUGGGGGAAACCCUGAUGCAGCGACGCCGCGUGAGCGAUGAAGUCUUUCGGUAUGUAAAGCUCUAUCAGCAGGGAAGAAAAUGACGGUACCUGACUAAGAAGCCCCGGCUAACUACGUGCCAGCAGCCGCGGUAAUACGUAGGGGGCAAGCGUUAUCCGGAUUUACUGGGUGUAAAGGGAGCGUAGGCGGCCAUGCAAGUCAGAAGUGAAAACCCGGGGCUCAACCCUGGGAGUGCUUUUGAAACUGUGCGGCUAGAGUGUCGGAGGGGUAAGUGGAAUUCCUAGUGUAGCGGUGAAAUGCGUAGAUAUUAGGAGGAACACCAGUGGCGAAGGCGGCUUACUGGACGAUGACUGACGCUGAGGCUCGAAAGCGUGGGGAGCAAACAGGAUUAGAUACCCCUGUAUC
rnacentral:rRNA from 1 species